GAUGAAGAACGUAGCGAAAUGCGAUAAGUAAUGCGAAUUGCAGAAUUUCCGUGAAUCAUCGAAUCUUUGAACGCACAUUGCGCCCCCUGGUAUUCCGGGGGGCAUGCCUGUUCGAGCGUCAUUUCACCACUCAAGCCUCGCUUGGUAUUGGGCAAUGCGGUCCGCCGCCUGCCUCAAAUCGACCGGCUGGGUCUUCUGUCCCCUAAGCGUUGUGGAAACUAUUCGCUAAAGGGUGUUCGGGAGGCUACGCCGUAAAACAACCCCAUUUCUAAGGUUGACCUCGGAUCAGGUAGGGAUACCCGCUGAACUUAAGCAUAUCAAUAAGCGGAGGA
rnacentral:misc_RNA from 1 species